GGGGGGGGGGCUAUUUUUACAAAAUUAAACUACGGUACUACCAUUUUGCACCGAAGCCCCCGAACUUGUUCGAAUUUUAAAAGAGCGGUCCUUCGAUCACAAGAAAUUAACUGCGGUAAUUAAUUAAUUGAGAAGGGUGAAAAAAAUCAGUGGGAGACCUGCGCGCGGAGGCGGUCGUUGUCGGAGAGGAGGGCAUGGUGGUCGGCGGCGAGGGCGUCGUAGGCGGCCUUGAGGCGGUCGAAGUCGUGCUCGAGCUGCUUGGUCUUCCAGCGGGCGCGGCGGUUCUGGAACCAGACGGCGACCUGCCGGGGGGCCAUGCCGAGGCGGCGGGCGAGCUCCGUCUUCCGCUCCGGCUCCAGCUUGUUCUCCUCCUCGAAGCUCCGCUCCAGCAUCUGCACCUGCUCCGCCGUCAGCCGCCGCUUCUUCUCCGGCGCCUGCUCGUCGUAGUACUCCUCCUCCAGGAGCUCCUCGUGCGUCGUGAAG
rnacentral:lncRNA from 1 species